rnacentral:lncRNA from 1 species
UCUUUUUUUUUUUUUGUCUUUUCUUUGUCAAACCAAAUAAGUAAUACUAAUAUGUAUACAUAUGACAACUACACCCACGGGAAGAUAUAGUUCCCACAAACUAAAGCCUAACCAUGGAGACUGAACCAUUCAAUCAUAUAGAAAAGAAAGGCUCAGAUGGAAUUUUAUACCUAGAGAGUUAACUUAGGGGCCGGCUUCGAACAAACAGCACACAAAAACUCUAGACAAAACGUUUCUUCGUAUUCGCUGUCAUUGAUGCACCGACCACAGUGAUAACACCUCUGUAUGCAAAGAGAACAAGCACGGCAUUCCUCAGAACCUUUCUUUUUCCCUUUACAAUCUUCUGCUGGACAGUCAUACACAAGCCUAGAAUUUUGACACUUUGGGCACAUCUCAAUAUCUAGCGCCCGGUCAUCAUCACAGGACACACAUGCAUCUCCUCUAUGGUAAAAACGCGGCUUCUGAAUAGUCUGCUCGACUUUAUUGUCUAUGUUCAACAAGUCAAACAAUUCAUCGUAAUGAUCUUUAGUAACUCCAAAGAGGCCACCAAUUUCUAAAUGCUUCACUUGAAGCUUUCCCGCAUACUUCAGAUCCCUCAAGAUGCUCAAAAUACCAUCAAUAGUGAUCCUUGUGCAUCCAGGCACACCAAGCUGCCAACCACAGAACAACAUUAGAUUUAAAUAAAAUCCCACAAAUCAAUUCAACCACGAAGCACAUCUAUAACAGCUUAUUAGUAAUCCAGAUAAACUUGAGUAAAUAAAGGAAAAAAGCUCACCUUGACUACUUGUGGGUUGCGCUCCAACACCCGCUUAAGACAAUCAUCAGUAAUUCUACAGCAAUCUACGAGCCUCAAACACUGCAUAGUACCCUGAGCCCUCUCAGUUAAAUGCAGCAGAGCCUCUUCCGUAAUCUUCUCAUUCAACGGUUGACAAAUGUGGAUAUGCUUCCACAAUAACGAGUCAUUACAAACAGUAGUAUGCAGAGACUUGCAAACCAUACUAACUGAAAGAAGAUCCUUCACUCCCAAGUGAUAAAGACAAAAACCAAACGCUGGAUGAAUAUUUGAAUCCUCUCCUCCAUUACUGCAGCGAUCACUACUUCCUACAACUCCACCAUUCCUCGCAUCCUCGAGGCUCAAUACCUCAUCAACACUACUAGCAGAUAUGAAAGCACCGUGACAAGAUCCAUCACCAUCAAAUGCUCCUCCAAACACAUUAUUGUCCUCACUACUCUCCGGGAAUUUACAUGCGGAAAACAAAGACCCAUCAAAUGCCCCACCAAACCCAUACAACGACUCCGAUCCAUUACUGUACCCACUACUCUGAAACUGCAUUGCAUUGUUCCAAAUGAAACUCAAUCCAGCAAAGAGCUGCUGAUGGUUUCCAUCACCAAUCCAAAUGUCAUCACUUCUUCUUCCAUAUUGGUUAUUAUAAUCCAAAUCCUCAAGCCAUCCAGUAAUGGCCGUGAAAGUAUUGUUGAUAUCCAUACCAAACGGAUCAGAUGGCAAAACAUCAAGUAUGUCAACAGAAGAAGAAUCUCCAUUACUCUUCCUUCCAUUAUCAAAACUUGAACACCAAUUCCCAUUGGCUAUCUUCAUUGGUUCCUCAGAUAGAUGAGAAGCAAAGGGUCUAUGUGAAAAAUUUAAAGCCAUUUCUAUUAAAUCUCUAUAUACACUUUAAACCUAAAAAAAAUCCCUCUUUUGUACACAAUCCCUGAAAAAAAACUCAAAACCCCCCUAAGAAGAUAGAUCAGAUCCGAAAAAAACUAAAGGUUAUUUUUUUUGGGUUAUCGAAAGGCGAUAGAUCUAUGGACAGAAAAAAAGGAAACUCUUGAUUUCAGAUGGCAACAAAAAAAUACUAGGCACCAGAAAUUUUCAGAGCUUCCUUGGAACCCUAAAAAACCUAGAGAAAAGAAAUUCGAAAUUGAGACGUAUUAACAACCAAAUUGGGUAACACAAAAAGAAUGAAUUGAAUAAAACUGAUUUUUUCCCUUUUUUUUUUGUUUUCUGUUUACUCUUCUUCUUCCUCAAAACAAAACUAGGGUUUUCAGAAAUUUCGAAACCUAAUCCUAAACAUUAUCAAGAAGAAGAAAGAAAGAUAUGAAUUUUGAAUCUGUGGGAUUGAAUUGAAGAAAUUGAAUCAAAGACACCUCUGUUAUUUCCUCACCCACGAAGAAGAACAACAACGCGAUCAACGGGAAAACCAAACCGAACCCUCGCCGUGAAACUAAACAAGAUCUCCUUUUUUGAGGGAAAUCUUCAGACUUUCGAAUUGGGAAUCAAACAAUUCUCACUUGGGAUUCAAAGAAGAGAGAAAGAUGGAGAAAGAGAGAGAGAGAGAACAGGUUGGUGAAUUUCGUCGACCGAGUCAAGAGAGAAAAUGAUGGAAAGGACGAGAAAAUUGUGCGAAAAAUCUCAACUUUUUUUUUAUUUUUAUUUUAGGGGUUGAGAUUUUACGUGGGAGAGAAAUAAAUAUAAAACUGGAGACAAAAUAAAUUUAAAAACUUAAAUACAAUAAAAUGGAAUGAGAUAAGAUUAGGGUAACGGUGAAAUUGUCAAAGUCUUUGGAAUAAUGGACACGUGUCAUUUGUUUAGUUCUUUGUCAUUCUUUCCAUAUGCCAACAAACUAGGGAUAUCUUAUUUUCUUGUUCGUUUUUUUAAAUCUAUUAUCCAAUAAGAGAUAUUUGAGUUUUUUUUUUUUUUUUGUCGGCCAUUUAGAUUCAUUGAUAUAGCCCAAAUGGGCAAAUUACAGAAAGUCCAGUAUACAGAAGAUUACAGCGAAAAUAAAGCUUAGGUCCUAACUAAAUCUUAAUUAAAGAAAAUAAAAUAUUGAAGCACAAAAGAUUUAGAAAUUGACACGUGUGGGAUAUGUGAUCUUCUCGAAGCUACGCGUCAAGCCGUGGAGUAGCAUCGUCAACGUCGCCGGACAUCGCUGGAUCGCCGAUUAGUCACCGCCGAUCAGCUCUGAAGCGAUGAGAAUCCUCUUGCUUUCUGCCGAUCUCAAUUCCUAGCCAAACGUCAAGAAAUCUCCGGAUCGAAUGAGAAAAAAUAGCUUCAAAUUCAUUCGAGCAUCACUAUCUUCGGGGAAGCUCCAUCACUAGCCACACCCAACUUGAUGUGGUCAGAUCUUUGCUCUUUCUUCUUUGAGCAAAAGGAAUUGAUGAAGAUAUUACUCCUCGAAAAGAUUGGAAGGAUCGGAGAGAAUUUUGAAGAAAAGCGGAGAUAAUAACGGGCUUAGAGAAAAGAUAUCAAAUCUCGCUAGUGCGAGAAGCAAAACCCGGACAGAGCCGGUACUGAGAAUUCCGACAAAAGCCGGAAAUUAUUUAGUUCGUUCAAAAAACGAAAAUAUGUACAAUUCCGGUGAAGUCCGAAAUCAAAACCGAAAGAAGACUUCUCCACUCUGAAAGAUUUAAGAUGGAUAAGAGAAGAGAAGCUUUUUAGAAUUUCCGGUUAAUAAUUCCGGUACACCGGAAAUCGCCUUCUCUCUGAGAGAGAAAGCUCCCAUUCUUUUUAUUUUAUUCUCUCUAUUUGAGUUAAUUAUAUUAGGAUGAUAUUCAACUACUUAUAUAUAAAAUACAACCAAUUACGAUAAACAAUGUAUACAAAUAAUAAUUUUACGCUGCAAUUUUUUUUAUAAUAUUCGGAUUUCCA